rnacentral:rRNA from 1 species
GACGAACGCUGGCGGCGCGCCUAGCACAUGCAAGUCGAACGGAGUCAAGAGGAGCUUGCUUUUCUUGACUUAGUGGCGAACGGGUGAGUAACGCGUGAGUAACCUGCCCUGGAGUGGGGGACAACAGUUGGAAACGACUGCUAAUACCGCAUAAGCCCACGGAUCUGCAUGGAUCUGCGGGAAAAGGAUUUAUUCGCUCUAGGAUGGACUCGCGUCCAAUUAGCUAGUUGGUGAGGUAACGGCCCACCAAGGCGACGAUUGGUAGCCGGACUGAGAGGUUGAACGGCCACAUUGGGACUGAGACACGGCCCAGACUCCUACGGGAGGCAGCAGUGGGGGAUAUUGCACAAUGGGGGAAACCCUGAUGCAGCGACGCCGCGUGGAGGAAGAAGGUUUUCGAAUUGUAAACUCCUGUCGUUAGGGACGAUAAUGACGGUACCUAACAAGAAAGCACCGGCUAACUACGUG